GGGUAGGUGCGCCGGGCCGGGGCGGGCAUGUGGGCGCGCAGCUCGCGCAGGACGGCGUACCGGUCGGCGUCACGGAUCAUGUCGGUGUCGAUCCA
rnacentral:tRNA from 1 species